AUUGAACGCUGGCGGCAUGCUUUACACAUACAAGUCGAACGGUAGAGGGGCAACCCUUGAGAGUGGCGAACGGGUGAGUAAUGCAUCGGAACGUGCCCAGUAGUGGGGGAUAGCCCGGCGAAAGCCGGAUUAAUACCGCAUGAGACCUGAGGGUGAAAGCGGGGGAUCGCAAGACCUCGCGCUAUUGGAGCGGCCGAUGUCAGAUUAGCUAGUUGGGGGGGUAAAGGCCUACCAAGGCGACGAUCUGUAGCUGGUCUGAGAGGACGACCAGCCACACGGGGACUGAGACACGGCCCAGACUCCGACGGGAGGCAGCAGUGGGGAAUUUUGGACAAUGGGCGCAAGCCUGAUCCAGCCAUGCCGCGUGCGGGAAGAAGGCCUUCGGGUUGUAAACCGCUUUUGUCAGGGAAGAAAUCUUCUGGGCUAAUACCCUGGGAGGAUGACGGUACCUGAAGAAUAAGCACCGGCUAACUACGUGCCAGCAGCCGCCGUAAGAC
rnacentral:rRNA from 1 species